rnacentral:tRNA from 4 species
GCCCAGGUGGCGGAAUUGGUAGACGCACUACCUUGAGGUGGUAGCGGGGAGACCCGUGGAGGUUCGAGUCCUCUCUUGGGCACCA